rnacentral:rRNA from 1 species
ACCCGCUGAAUUUAAGCAUAUAACUAAGCGGAGGAAAAGAAACUAACAAGGAUUCCCCUAGUAAGGGCGACUGAAGCGGGAUCAGCCCAGAUUGUAAACUGACCUUAAUCAAGGUUGGGUUGUAGUCUAAAGAGGCGACGCCAGGCAAGGUCCGGGGAGAAGUCCCUUGGAACAGGGCAUCGGAGAGGGUGACAAUCCCGUCUGUGCCUCGGACCGCGUCGUACGGUGCGUCUUCGACGAGUCGGUUUGCUUGGGAUUGCAGACCAAACGGGUGGUAAAUUCCAUCUAAGGCUAAAUACGGGUGGGAGACCGAUGGCGAACAAGUACCGUGAGGGAAAGAUGCAAAGAACUUUGAAAAGAGAGUUAAAAAGGGCCUGAAACUGGUAAGAGGGAACCGAACGGCAGAAGUGGUGAUGGGCGCGUAUUUUCCGCCGGGCUCUUGGCCGGCGUACUUGUGCGCGUCCGUAGGUCAGCGUGGGUUGGGGCGUGGGAGUCGUUCAUGGGAAGGUCUUCGGGCCAAUCUCGUGUUCAGGCCGCGCCUGAGACCUUCGGUGACGAAAUUCUUCCGUUCACCCCGUCUUGAAACACGGACCAAGGAGUCUAAAAUACGAGCGAGUGCGCCGGUGGCAACCCGGGGCGCGUAGUGAAAGUGAGACCGACGGUGGGAGGGCUUUACGUCCGCACCAUCAACCGACCAGGAUCCUUCGGGUGAAAGGUUUGAGUGUAGCUCGUAUUUUGGGACCCGAAAGAUGGUGAACUAUGCCUGAAUAGGGCGAAGCCAGGGGAAACUCUGGUGGAGGCUCGUAGCGAUUCUGACGUGCAAAUCGAUCGUCAAAUUUGGGUAUAGGGGCGAAAGACUAAUCGAACCAUCUAGUAGCUGGUUCCCUCCGAAAUUUCCCUCAGGAUAGCAGCAAUCGAAGAGUUUUAUCAGGUAAAGCGAAUGAUUAGAGGCCUCAGGGGUGGAGCGUCCUUGACCUAUUCUCAAACUUUAAAUGGGUAAGAGCCAGGGGUUGCUUAAGUGAACCCCUCGGUCGAAUCGCGGUUGCUAGUGGGCCACCCGGGGUAAGCUCGGUUGGCGAUGCGGGAUGAUCCGAACGUCGAGUUAAAGUGCCUCACUGCCCGCUCACCUAGAUCCCACAAAAGGUGUUGGUUCAUUUAGACAGCAGGACGGUGGCCAUGGAAGUCGGAACCCGCUAAGGAGUGUGUAACAACUCACCUGCCGAAUGGAUUAGCCCUGAAAAUGGAUGGCGCUGAAGCGAGCGACUUAUACUCGACCAUCACGGCAAGUGCGACGCCGUGAUGAGUAGGAGGGCGUGGGGCUCGUGGCGCAUCCCGCGGCGUGAGCCGGGGUGAAACGGGCUCUAGUGCAGAUCUUGGUGGUAGUAGC